UGUUUUAAUUUUUUUCGUAAAUUCACCGUAUUCGUAAGAGUCACUAAUGUGAUUACACAACACCACUUAGACGAAUUGUCCAGAAUGUCAAACCAUCUAGAAAAUUUUUGAUCCGGUCCAAAUUCACAUGAGCUCAAUAAUAUAGCGUAUUUAAUAAAACUCAUUCAAUCUAAAAAUUUAAGUCUAUUCAGUAUGGAUUCACUAGCGUUUAUCAACUCUUUACUCUUUUAUAAUUAU
rnacentral:lncRNA from 1 species